rnacentral:rRNA from 1 species
GACAGAGGGUGCAAACGUUGUUCGGAAUUACUGGGCGUAAAGCGUGUGUAGGCGGUCAUGUAAGUCAGGUGUGAAAGCCCCAGGCUUAACCUGGGAAGUGCACUUGAUACUGCGUGACUUGAGUAUCGGAGAGGUUGGUGGAAUUCUCGGUGUAGAGGUGAAAUUCGUAGAUAUCGAGAGGAACACCGGUGGCGAAGGCGGCCAACUGGACGAAUACUGACGCUGAGACACGAAAGCGUGGGGAGCAAACAGG